rnacentral:rRNA from 1 species
UGGGGAAUUUUGGACAAUGGGCGAAAGCCUGAUCCAGCAAUGCCGCGUGUGUGAAGAAGGCCUUCGGGUUGUAAGCACUUUUGUCCGGAAAGAAAUCCUUGGCUCUAAUACAGUCGGGGGAUGACGGUACCGGAAGAAUAAGCACCGGCUAACUACGUGCCAGCAGCCGCGGUAAUACGUAGGGUGCAAGCGUUAAUCGGAAUUACUGGGCGUAAAGCGUGCGCAGGCGGUUUGCUAAGACCGAUGUGAAAUCCCCGGGCUAACCUGGGAACUGCAUUGGUGACUGGCAGGCUAGAGUAUGGCAGAGGGGGUAGAAUUCCACGUGUAGCAGUGAAAUGCGUAGAGAUGUGGAGGAAUACCGAUGGNGAAGGCAGCCCCCUGGGCAAUACUGACGCUCAUGCACGAAAGCGUGGGGAGCAAACAGGAUU